GUGUGAACACAGCUCGCAACAUGCAUUAUAGAAGAAUUAAAAUUACCAUGCACCAUACUCUAAAGCAAAGACAUGGAACAAAUAAACUAAAGGUAAGUGUGCAACCGAUACAAAUGAGCCCCGAAAAAAGAAAAAUACAAAGAAAGCUCAUCAGUAACCUUCUUUGAAAGCACACAUCUUCUUUUCGCCAUAACAAGAUAUCUAAAAAACAUGACCAAAGUCACAAAAUGAGAAUUCAGUAAUUUAGUUAGUGGUACAAUAAAAUAUGAAAAGAAAAUAGAGCACAAAAAUACUAUUUUGAGAACAAAGUAGGGUAGUGAUUUACAGAAGGUACAAUUAAUGGAUGAAAAGUGUUCCAGCAAACAAAUUCGAUGUGAGCAAAGACAAGCGGACCGUGAGGGCGCCUGUCGAAAACGAAACCAAAAAUAACAAUCUCCGUAUAACACACAAAGUAACAAAUCUUAAAAAACCUAAAGGCUAGAGGCAAUAACCCAAGCCUAAUCCUAGAGAAUGAAUCCCAUUCUCUAACUUCAAAUGAUUACUAUAACUAAACGAUCAUUGGGAAAUGACUUUUAAGUUUUAAAUACAAUGGAAGAGCCAAACACAUGAAAACAAAAUAUCACACCACAAAUAAAAAAUAAGAACAAAAAAGCGCACUAAAUUUGGAAGUGGAAUAGCUUUCUUGAGUAGAAAGACAAAACGCUAAAAAACACAAAAUUAGAAAUAAAAAUAAAUAGUUGGAAUCAUAAGAACGCAAAAUAUCCAAAGAAAAGGUGACAAGUCACCAAUAGGAAAUUAGGAAUAAACUAUAGUACCCUUAUUUAAUGAUGAAGCAUGCCUUUUUUUUCAUUAGGGAAUAUCACUUCAUUUACAAUCACCAAUCCUGCUAGAAGGUUUUCACUAAUUAAAAAGUAGUUUUGCUUCAACUUUCCAAAGUUACGACCUUGUAGUUCAUUUCCAACGUCACUUAUAGAGUUCUAGUAGCUAUGCUAUUUACUUAAACCCAAUUUCAGUUACCAAUUUAUUGAAUUUGAUGAUUAUCCAGGUGGAGAGAUCAAUUAUUUGUUCAAUUACUGUCAAAUUAUUUCAGACUCAGAAAAGGUGAGUCUAUUGUAUUGAGUUGGGCUAUAUGAUUGUACACCUAAGAUUCUCCAGAGCUAUAGUUCUAUAUUUAUGAUGGUGUGUUAGUGUAUGAUCUAUUGGCAUAAUUUGUUGGUGUGUUUGAAAAACUGAUGUUCCAUAGGCAAGCUCAAGUUGUUUAUACAUUUUAACAUGGACCAUAAAAACUAAUACUACAUUUUAAUUUAUCGUGAUUUCAACGUGUAAGAGUAAAAUGCAUGUUAUGGAGACUUACUCAAGUGCAAGAUAAUGCUCACUACGCCCGUGGAGAUGUAACUCUUGAAGAAGUGAAUGUCGGUGAACGAGCACGUGUCUGAGAAUAAUUUAGAAAAAAGAAUCACAUGAAUAUUUAAAUUACACACGUGAAAAAAUCAAACAAAUCAUAUUAAUACUACUACAUUUUUUACAAAAAUUAGUACAUGAAAAAUUAAGAAUAUCAAAGUUUAUUUAAAAUCCUAAAGCACCCGAUUAUAUUUUUGUCUAGUACUUCCAAUAUACCUCCGGAAAUUACUUCAAUUAGUAAACAUUGUAAAAGUAAAAAAUCAAACAAUAAUUAAAUCAAUUAUAUUCAAUUAAUUAAUCAAAAUAAGUUUAAGUUAAAACUCUAGGCCCAUUCCUUAAUCCUUAUCAUCAAAUCCAACAAUAUUUCAUUAUCAUCAUCUGUACUCAUGAUCCAUUCCAAACAUACACUAUUUAAAAUCCCCACAAUAUACUGCCCCUGUUCCACGAUGCUCUCUCAUUCUCGGUUGCACCCAUAGUCUCCUCUCUUUGUGUACCCUCUCACCUCUCUCUCUCUCUCACUGCACUUCACAUUUGCAACAGAGAGUGAAUCUCAUCCCCAACUAUCAAAUCCCAAAUCCCCUUCUUCUAAUUUCCGGCGAAUAACCAGAACGGUUUGUUCUCUCCAUCAAUCAGCCGUCCACCUAUAUCUCACCGCCGUUCCCUAUCGUCGACCCACUCUCUUUGGCUCGGCCCGACAAUCAGCAGCUAAGAAAACUGCGCGGAUGCCGCCGCUGACCAGCACUCUCAACACAGACAACAACACAAGAAAUUGAGCCACAACUCAGCCAAGGCUGGUCGUUCCCAAUCGUCAGCACACCUAAGCUGCUGCCGAUGCAACGCCGACCGGCACCCUCAACGCAAGCAGCAAAGCAAGAAACCCAGCCCCAAGACAAUAGUUCUAUUAUGUUGUGGUGUGCUCAGUUUUGUGAAAAAAUUCUAGGGUUCAUCAGAAAAUUUAAUGAUAAAAUGCAGGUUUACGAAAUCAAAACUCACCUCCUUGUUUUGUUGGUGUAAUGGAUUUCUCUAGUGUGAUUUUUGGUUGAAUUUUGAUCAGACUUUGCACUUUCACCGUUGAAUUUGGGGGAGAUUCUUACGGCAGAACUCCUUUUCUUUUCUUUUCGUUGCCGGAACUGUAUCACA
rnacentral:lncRNA from 1 species